UACGGGGGGAGCAAGCGUUGUUCGGAUUUACUGGGCGUAAAGGGCGCGUAGGCGGCCAGCACAGGUCAGUUGUGAAAUCUCCGAGCUUAACUCGGAAAGGUCAACUGAUACUGUGCGGCUAGAGUGCGGAAGGGGCAACUGGAAUUCCUGGUGUAGCGGUGAAAUGCGUAGAUAUCGGGAAGAACACCCGUGGCUAAGGCGGCUCUCUAGUACGGUACUGACGCUGAGACGCGAAAGCGUGGGGAGCGAACAGG
rnacentral:rRNA from 1 species